AAGCGCCAGGGAAAACCUGCGCCCACAUUUGAUGCAUAAACAGAACCCGGCACAGGUGCGCAUCCGGGCCGGCUCCGGCCCCGCCGCAAUUCAUCAGCUCCCAACAAAUGCUUCUUUAUAAUCAGGAAAUAGAAACCCUCUCUGGCCGAGCGGAGAAGGCUGAGCGCGCUCCUCCCACCUUUCCGGGCCGCUGCGCAAGGGGCGGACUCCAGGCGGGGCGGCUUCAUAAACCAGAGAUCCAGGAGGCCCCGACUCUGCAUAUGGAAAAUGGAACACAGUAUAAAUAAGAUAAAUGGAUUAGGUCAGCUGACUGCAACUGUAGCCGCGGCCAACCCACAGGCACAAUGUGCAUGAACUACAGGGAAGGUUUGUCAAUCAGGCAAUUUAUUCCCACCCUAGAAGUGGAAAAGCAGGAUGUGCACGCACGCUCGUAGACUCACU
ensembl:lncRNA